rnacentral:rRNA from 1 species
AGAGUUUGAUCCUGGCUCAGGAUGAACGCUGGCGGUAUGCUUAACACAUGCAAGUCGAACGGUGUCUUCGGACACAGUGGCGGACGGGUGAGUAACGCGUGAGAAUCUGGCUUCAGGUCUGGGACAACCACUGGAAACGGUGGCUAAUACCGGAUGUGCCGAGAGGUGAAAGGUUAACUGCCUGAAGAUGAGCUCGCGUCUGAUUAGCUAGUAGGUAGUGUAAUGGACUACCUAGGCGACGAUCAGUAGCUGGUCUGAGAGGACGAUCAGCCACACUGGGACUGAGACACGGCCCAGACUCCUACGGGAGGCAGCAGUGGGGAAUUUUCCGCAAUGGGCGAAAGCCUGACGGAGCAAUACCGCGUGAGGGAGGAAGGCUCUUGGGUCGUAAACCUCUUUUCUCAGGGAAGAACACAAUGACGGUACCUGAGGAAUAAGCAUCGGCUAACUCCGUGCCAGCAGCCGCGGUAAUACGGAGGAUGCAAGCGUUAUCCGGAAUGAUUGGGCGUAAAGCGUCCGCAGGUGGCUGUGUAAGUCUGCUGUUAAAGAAUCUAGCUCAACUAGAUACAAGCAGUGGAAACUACACGGCUAGAGUACGUUCGGGGCAGAGGGAAUUCCUGGUGUAGCGGUGAAAUGCGUAGAGAUCAGGAAGAACACCGGUGGCGAAGGCGCUCUGCUAGGCCGUAACUGACACUGAGGGACGAAAGCUAGGGGAGCGAAUGGGAUUAGAUACCCCAGUAGUCCUAGCCGUAAACGAUGGAUACUAGGCGUGGCUUGUAUCGACCCGAGCCGUGCCGUAGCUAACGCGUUAAGUAUCCCGCCUGGGGAGUACGCCGGCAACGGUGAAACUCAAAGGAAUUGACGGGGGCCCGCACAAGCGGUGGAGUAUGUGGUUUAAUUCGAUGCAACGCGAAGAACCUUACCAAGGCUUGACAUGUCGCGAAUCUUCUCGAAAGGGAAGAGUGCCUUCGGGAGCGCGAACACAGGUGGUGCAUGGCUGUCGUCAGCUCGUGUCGUGAGAUGUUGGGUUAAGUCCCGCAACGAGCGCAACCCUCGUUUUUAGUUGCCAGCAUUAAGUUGGGCACUCUAGAGAGACUGCCGGUGACAAACCGGAGGAAGGUGGGGAUGACGUCAAGUCAGCAUGCCCCUUACGCCUUGGGCUACACACGUACUACAAUGCUCCGGACAGAGGGCAGCAAGCAUGCGAAUGCAAGCAAAUCCCGUAAACCGGAGCUCGGUUCAGAUCGCAGGCUGCAACUCGCCUGCGUGAAGGAGGAAUCGCUAGUAAUUGCAGGUCAGCAUACUGCAGUGAAUUCGUUCCCGGGCCUUGUACACACCGCCCGUCACACCAUGGAAGCUGGUAGUGCCCGAAGUCAUUACUCCAGCCGUUCGCGGAGGAGGAUGCCUAAGGCAGGACUGGUGACUGGGGUGAAGUCGUAACAAGGUAGCCGUACCGGAAGGUGUGGCUGGAUCACCUCCUUAAUAGGGAGACCAAAUCAAUUAAAAAUGAAAGAUGAAAAAUUAAAAAUGAAUCGAUAUGUAAUUUUUCAUUUUUAAUUUCUAAUUUUUAAUUGAUUCAUCCCAAGUCGGUCGAGAUUGAUGCUAUUGGCUUUCAAACUUUUACUUGGUUCAAGUCGAAGAGUGUGGUAUAACCACCCAUGAACAAGUUCGGUUGUGCCCACUGUUGAGGGACGAAUGAGCUAGUACAUUAGUAUUAUUGGAAUUGAACCAAGUACAUCAAACUUCUUCAGCACCUUAUCUAGUAGAGCUAGAGAGAAUGCUGGAUGAGUAAUCCAGACAGAACCUUGAAAAUUACAUAGCAACUUGUCAGGUAGAAACAGUUAAGAGUGAGCAGUAAUUAGUUAUCAGUGAAAAACGUGAUAACUGGUGAUUGACAACUGAUAACUGAAUCACAGACACCAAUGUAGAAAUUGUGGUCAAGCUAAUAAGGGCUAACGGUGGAUACCUAGGCACACAGAGGCGAAG